AAAAAUGCUAUUUACAGGUGUUGGUAGUGACUGUGUUUGUAGUGUGAAACUAAUAUGCCAGAGUGAUGUUGUCUGUGUGUGUUUUGUUUCAGGAAAGUGCAGGAGCAGAAUAAGAAGGUGGUUGUGGUGGGAUGUGUGUAGCAGGCCCAGCCCACAGACUACCUGAAAGACCUGAGCAUCACCGGGGUCACUCCAUGUGUCUGCUGGGUCAGAAGAAGGAGAAAGGCAAGUGUCUGGGAGGAACGCGGCUGGAUCUGCCCGAGAUCAGGAAGAACCCGCUUGUUGAAAUCAUUUCCAUCAAUACAGGGUAAGAUGUGCAUGGACAAACACACUUAGGUCCCUGUGAUUCCUGCUCUGUGGAAAACAUGGACAGAAUCCAGUCAUAAAAAUGGAAUUUACAGUAUAAUGUGGAAUGUCACUGAAUUUGCCCAAUUUUGAAUGAAUAAAUCAAAAGUAGGUCAGUACA
ensembl:lncRNA